rnacentral:tRNA from 1 species
CAUUAAGAAGCUAAACUGGGUCUAGCAUUAGCCUUUUAAGCUAACAAUUGGUGACUCCCAACCACCCUUAAUGA